rnacentral:rRNA from 1 species
CACGUAGGGCGCGAGCGUUGUCCGGAAUUAUUGGGCGUAAAGAGCUCGUAGGCGGCCUGUUGCGUCCGCUGUGAAAGCCCGGGGCUUAACCCCGGGUCGGCAGUGGAUACGGGCAGGCUAGAGGUAGGUAGGGGAGAAUGGAAUUCCUGGUGUAGCGGUGAAAUGCGCAGAUAUCAGGAGGAACACCGGUGGCGAAGGCGGGUCUCUGGGCCGUAACUGACGCUGAGGAGCGAAAGCGUGGGGAGCGAACAGG